AUUGAACGCUGGCGGCAUGCCUUACACAUGCAGGUCGAACGGCAGCACGGGAGCAAUCCUGGUGGCGAGUGGCGAACGGGUGAGUAAUAUAUCGGAACGUGCCCAGUCGUGGGGGAUAACGUAGCGAAAGCUACGCUAAUACCGCAUACGAUCUAUGGAUGAAAGCGGGGGAUCGCAAGACCUCGCGCGAUUGGAGCGGCCGAUAUCAGAUUAGGUAGUUGGUGAGGUAAAGGCUCACCAAGCCGACGAUCUGUAGCUGGUCUGAGAGGACGACCAGCCACGCUGGGACUGAGACACGGCCCAGACUCCUACGGGAGGCAGCAGUGGGGAAUUUUGGACAAUGGGCGCAAGCCUGAUCCAGCAAUGCCGCGUGCAGGAUGAAGGCCUUCGGGUUGUAAACUGCUUUUGUACGGAACGAAACGGCGAGCUCUAAUACAGUUUGCUAAUGACGGUACCGUAAGAAUAAGCACCGGCUAACUACGUGCCAGCCGCCGCUGUAA
rnacentral:rRNA from 1 species